AUUGAACGCUGGCGGCAUGCCUUACACAUGCAAGUCGAACGGUAACGCGGGGCAACCUGGCGACGAGUGGCGAACGGGUGAGUAAUAUAUCGGAACGUGCCCAGUAGUGGGGGAUAACUGCUCGAAAGAGCAGCUAAUACCGCAUACGACCUGAGGGUGAAAGGGGGGGAUCGCAAGACCUCUCGCUAUUGGAGCGGCCGAUAUCAGAUUAGCUAGUUGGUGGGGUAAAGGCCUACCAAGGCAACGAUCUGUAGUUGGUCUGAGAGGACGACCAGCCACACUGGGACUGAGACACGGCCCAGACUCCUACGGGAGGCAGCAGUGGGGAAUUUUGGACAAUGGGCGCAAGCCUGAUCCAGCAAUGCCGCGUGCAGGAAGAAGGCCUUCGGGUUGUAGACUGCUUUUGUCAGGGAAGAAAUCGUCUAGGUUAAUACCCUUGGGGGGAUGACGGUACCUGAAGAAUAAGCACCGGCUAACUACGUGCCAGCCGCCGCCGUAAGAC
rnacentral:rRNA from 1 species